UCUUCCCAGACGAAGAGCUUUACAACCCAUAGGGCCUUCUAUCACUCACGCGGCAUCGGCUGCGAUCAGAGCUUGCUCCCAUUGUGCCAAUAUUCCCCA
rnacentral:rRNA from 1 species